AAGCAUAAGGGCGAGAGGGUGGACUUCUCUAGCUGCGGGUCUCCCAACUAUUGUAUCUACUUGAUUGCCUUCUGUUAUCCAGAUCGAAAUUGUCCUAAGAAUGAGGCAACACUCGGAGGUGGCACCUACACAUGAUCCCUGUCUCGCUUAGAUGUCAAGGUCGUUUCUCUCCAUAUUGUAUACCUUUCAUAGGUUUUUUCCUGGCUUUUACUUUAUGAUGUGUAGAGAUUAAACGGUAUCUGCUUGGACUAUUAUUGUAUUCGGCACUAAUAAAUCAUAAAUAUAUGAGACUAUGAGUAUACUCUUACGGUUUUACUUAAUUUCUACCUCCGUUGAUAUAGCAUAUCUUCUUUGUAUUAUUUCACAGGAUUCUUUGCAAGCAGUUAAAAUAUCCUAUAUAAUCUGGAAAAGAGAUAGCUUAAAUCGGUGCAUGUGUAAUUAACUCCAUAUAUUAUUUCGAGGCAGAGUUCAAUACAUGCAUGUUCUCUCAAAUUAGGUUGCCCUUGGCGUGUAUAUAAAUGUGAUGCUUCCUUCCAUGACUAAACAGGUUGAUGUUAGGUAUGAAUGUAUAGUCGAGUCAUCUUUAACAUAAUUGCUUUGUGCACUAUGUUUCAACUCUGUCAAUUGUGUUGGCAUAACUGAUUCCACUGCCUUUUGUUAUUGUUUGGAUCAACUACUAUGUACUGAACCUAUUUAUAUCUAUGCCAUGCUUUACCGCAAAAUGCUAAUUUAUGUUGUUCCAAACUGAAGCUCUUAUGGACUGCAUAUUAUACUAGAUUGAUAUGAAGGUGUCCAAACAUGUGGCAUAUCAAGAUUGUUAGGCUUUCGUGUUAGGUCCUGUCAGAUUAACUAUAUUAUUAUCUACUUCAUGUGUUUUGUGCAUUUAGUUCUGUUUGUUUUGAUCGAGUAAGUGACACCUAACUUUCAUUGAUUUCUGGGAUUGUUCAUUAUCUUGAGCCAUGCCUGCUACCGAAUCUGAAUGUUUCCAUCUCUGGUACCAUGGCACGGCAUUGGCGGCGGCGUCUUGGUGAAGAAGAGGACUACAGUGGCUUAGGGAGGAAGAUGACAGUGGCAACCUGAUCUAUGUAUGUUUCUCCUGUGGCCACGGCCAGGGGUGAGGAGAUAUCGAUUAGGCUAGCCCUGACCUUCACGGGCUUGGAUAUGGGGCUACAGAUCGUAGACCUGAUUUUGAGGGAAAUACUGCCCUGCCAAAAAGCCAACCGGUCGAGCUAGCCACACUGUGAAAGGGCCGAGCAACAACAACCUGAUAUACAUCAGUCGACAGUGAAGGCCUACUCCUACUCUGGAACAUUUUCCUACGGAUAAGAGGGCCACAAUACCAAUUGGUUCGCCUUCAAGAUUAGAAGGGGACACCAUCGUUCACUGUACAUAUGCUUUAGAAGGAAAUCACAAGUGCAUUUUUUAUACAAAACCAUUAUGUGGUCAUCUAUCUUACAAACUAUUCACACCAGAUUCAUAUGGAAUGGCACUCAUGGAGGCAGUUGAACCAAGCUAUCUAUUAGUAUGCGUAACUAUGGCUUCGUAGUUUUAUCGCCUCCAUUGCCACUGUUGGCUUUUGCUCUCUUAUGUUCCUGCUCGUGUUACUGAACUUAAUGUCAGCUAAUUAGCUUUUGUAUUCUCAUUACUGCAUUGAACUUGA